CUGUGUCUUAUGAAAAGGGACCGGGUAUCCACGCAAGUUUUUCCAUCCAGCAGCAGCAGGAUUCUCUGUUCUUGCGAUUCGCAAGAGCAUUGCUGCGGGUUGCCAUAGCAACCCGCUGCAACGCUAUCGCGAGAACAGAGGACCCUGCUACUGCUGGAUGGGAAACGAGCAUGGAGAGUACUGGGCCCCUCUUCACUGCCCAACUAAAGCUGUGCCACCGGACCACCAGGACCAGGUAAGUGUCAUGGAGGGGCAAACCAUACACACUGCUCACCUUCCCAGCUCUUAU